CACGUAGGGCGCAAGCGUUGUCCGGAAUUAUUGGGCGUAAAGAGCUCGUAGGCGGUCUGUUACGUCUGCUGUGAAAACCCAGGGCUUAACCCUGGGCUUGCAGUGGAUACGGGCAGACUAGAGGCAGGUAGGGGAGAAUGGAAUUCCCGGUGUAGCGGUGAAAUGCGCAGAUAUCAGGAGGAACACCGGUGGCGAAGGCGGGUCUCUGGGCCGAUAUCGACGCUGAGGAGCGAAAGCGUGGGGAGCGAACAGG
rnacentral:rRNA from 1 species